UACGGGGGGGGCAAGCGUUGUUCGGAAUUACUGGGCGUAAAGGGCUCGUAGGCGGCCAACUAAGUCGGACGUGAAAUCCCUCGGCUUAACCGGGGAACUGCGUCCGAUACUGGAUGGCUUGAAUUCGGGAGAGGGAUGCGGAAUUCCAGGGUGUAGCGGUGAAAUGCGUAGAUAUCUGGAGGAACACCGGUGGCGAAGGCGGCAUCCUGGACCGAUAUUGACGCUGAGGCGCGAAAGCCAGGGGAGCAAACGGG
rnacentral:rRNA from 1 species